CCUACGGGAGGCAGCAGUGGGGAAUUUUGGACAAUGGGCGCAAGCCUGAUCCAGCAAUGCCGCGUGAGUGAAGAAGGCCUUCGGGUUGUAAAGCUCUUUUGUCAGGGAAGAAACGGUGGGAGCUAAUAUCUCUUACUAAUGACGGUACCUGAAGAAUAAGCACCGGCUAACUACGUGCCAGCAGCCGCGGUAAUACGUAGGGUGCAAGCGUUAAUCGGAAUUACUGGGCGUAAAGCGUGCGCAGGCGGUUUUGUAAGUCUGUCGUGAAAGCCCCGGGCUCAACCUGGGAAUUGCGAUGGAGACUGCAAGGCUUGAAUCUGGCAGAGGGGGGUAGAAUUCCACGUGUAGCAGUGAAAUGCGUAGAGAUGUGGAGGAACACCGAUGGCGAAGGCAGCCCCCUGGGUCAAGAUUGACGCUCAUGCACGAAAGCGUGGGGAGCAAACAGGAUUAGAUACCCUGGUAGUCCACGCCCUAAACGAUGUCUACUAGUUGUCGGGUUUUAAUUAACUUGGUAACGCAGCUAACGCGUGAAGUAGACCGCCUGGGGAGUACGGUCGCAAGAUUAAAACUCAAAGGAAUUGACGGCNGAGAGNGCGAGACGACACGAGGAGAGG
rnacentral:rRNA from 1 species